rnacentral:lncRNA from 1 species
UGGUCCGGAAGGGCAGAGGAAGAGCCCAGACCACUGCUCUCGUGGGGGAUAACGGCGAAGGAGGAGGCAGAGAUGUGGCAGGUCCUGGAGGACCUGCGUAGGGACAGCGUGGAGGAAGAGCCUUGGGUGGCAGAGGUGCGCACGGUAUCGCCAGUGCGCCUGCACAGCCCAGUGCGCUCUGUGCCAGCGCCCCACAUUUGCCGGGCUAGGGGGAGUGUUCAGCGAGGACGUGUUGUGCCGGCUCAGCGCUCCUGGCCUCCAGUGCCCCUUCUCGGUCCGAUGUAUCCUGCGCCGAGGACGCGCACUGUGUCUCCGGUACGGCUACACAGCCCAGUGCGUUCUGUGCCAGCGCUCCACACUUGCCAGGCUAAGGUGGGUGUUGAGCCAGAACGGGUGAUGUCAGCUGUGCACUCCAGACCUCCAGUGCGCCUCCUCGGUCCAGGAUAUCCGGCGCCGCUUAUGCGCACUGUGUCGCCGGUGUGCGGCCCCAGUCCAGUCCGGACCGUCCCUGCUCCCCGCACCAAGCCAGUGGUGUGUGCCCCCAGUCCAGUCCGGCCCGUCCCUGCUCCCCGCACCAGGUUAGUGGUGCGUGUCCCCAGUCCUGUCCGGCCCGUCCCUGCUCCCCGCACCAGGUUAGUGGUGCGUGUCCACAGUCCUGUCCGGCCCAUCCCUGCUCCCCGCACCAGGUUAGUGGUGCGCGUCCCCAGUCCAGUCCGGCCCGUCCCUGCUCCCCGCACCAAGCCAGUGGUGUGUGCCCCCAGUCCAGUCCGGCCCGUCCCUGCUCCCCGCACCAGGCCCAUGGCGCGUGUCCACAGUCCGGCACGGCCUGUGUCCGGUCCACCGGUGACCAGUCCUGUUCCGGUCGGCGGCUCCGCUCCGGAGCCUGAGCAUGCCGCUCCACCGUGGUCCAGUCCGGGCCAGAGGGGUAGGGCUAGGGUGGAGGCAGGGGGAGAAACACGCCCGCGGCCAGAGCCUCCACCGAGGGUGAGGCGCCCACCCGGGUCCCCCCCCCUAAUAGACUUUAGGUUGGUGCGCCGGGAGUACGCACCGUUGGAGGGGGGGUACUGUCACGCCCUGACCAGGUGAACUCUUCUAUUUUGGUCAGGGUGUGGCAUUUCUAUAGUUUAUUUUCUAUGUUUUUGGUAUAGCCUUGCUUUGGGGCGUAUUUCUAUGUUGGGUUCUGUCGAUUCCCAAUCAGAGACAGCUG